rnacentral:rRNA from 1 species
UUACCCUUUCUUGUUUUUUCAGCCUAUAUACCGCCGUCACACAGCUCACCCCUUGAGGGCUAAAGAAUGUGGGCUCAAUCGGUAUUCACCCCCAGUAAGACAGGUCGAGGCGUAGCUUAUGAAAGGGAAAGAAAUGGGCUACAUUCCCUAAUUUAGUGAAUACGGAAGAUCACCCUGAAAUAAGGUAUCCGAAGGUGGAUUUAGCAGUAAGAGGGGAAUAGAGUGCCUCUCUGAAGUAGGCAAUGAAGCGUGCACACACCGCCCGUCACUCCCUCCAAGCACUUUCACCUAAAAUUUUAUAAACCAUGAGAAACGCACAGGAGGGGCAAGUCGUAACACGGUAAGCGUACUAGAAAGUGCGCUUGGCUAAAAU